ACUGGACAUGUCACUCACCCGGCCGGCGCCAUCUUGGAGCGGGAGGGGGGACGCUGCUCCCAGCUCGUAUUCAAGAUGGCGCGGGCCGUGCGGGAGGCUGCUAUUCACAGACGGACGCUGCGCCACUCCACUGCAGCUCUUCCUGCGAGUCCCGCCGGACUGCGCAGGAGGGGGUUACGUCCGUCCUGGGGGAUGCCGGGAGGGGGAGACUCUCCCGCUCUCGAUCCGGGGCCCCAUGAAAGACGCGGGAAAAGCGGCGGCAGGGGCGGAGGCCGUGCGCAUGCCCAGCGCCGCCCGCAGGCUGCCGGCUGGAGCAGCGCAGCGGGGAGCCUUGCCUAGGGCUGGCGCUUGGGCUCGCUUAUAAAACAUCUUCUGAGAAAAAGACUUUUAAAGUGAGAGCGGAGUCCCGUCUCUAGGCGUAGAGGUGCGGUGCCACGGCGUAUAUGUGCGGUGUGAUGAGGCGGGGCUACAGCUGCUGACGUGAACGGCGAUAAAAAUCUGAGAAGUUAAGAUACUGAAAAGUAAUGAAACAGGAGCUAAAAGGAUGUUUAUGAGAAGAACUGCUUCAUAUUCAUAGGCGCAGGUGAAUGCAGGUGAGGAAUUCAAGAUGGACAAAUGCCAAAAAUAAGCAUUCAAGUACCAAGUCACAGUAUCAGAAAUGAAAAAACAAAGCAACCCUACAGGAAAACAAGAGGAUGACAACAGAACUCACUAAUACAGGCCAGGACACUGCUGGAACAACCUAGCAUUGUCAUCGUCUAACCUAAAAUUAACUUAUAAGAAUUCUCGAUGUACUCUAAGAUGUUGAAUCUGAGACUAUACAAUUGAAGAUUUUCCAAAGAAUUAGACAUGGUAUACUGGGGUCUUUUGACCAGUCAGGCAGUCAGCAUUGAUCAAUUUUUUUUUUUCCUUUGUGAAGUCAAACAUUAGAACCUCCACUGAUUACAGUGAAGUGUGAAUUAUGCUAACUUACUGCUUCUGAAGAUACAGUAAAGUGUACUAAUUUAGCAAAGUUUCAAAGGACAAGAAAUUAUCAGACAUUAUCAGUCUACAUUUUAGGAGGAAAGUCUUUUCACCUGUGUUCAACUAGCUACUUUUUGAAAUUCUGAUUUCCUCAAGGAAUGCAAAUAUUCUGUCUAUUAAUAUUUUGCUGAUGAAAAAUAAAUAUUCUACACGUACAGAUAUAGGCCAUACCUAUCCUCUAGUUUGGACCCCAGUUUAAACAAAACCCACACUCCAGUUACCUUUUGUAACUUUCUAACAGCCAGUAUGACACUUUGAAAACCCAUGCACUCCGAUCCUAAACAGCCUUAUGGGCAUGUACUGGUCUCUAUAAUCAGGAUGUGCAGGGCUACUGUGUAGCACUUCCUUCUUCCACAUGUAGAGAGCCUCACCUUAGGAGGAUUCAAGUGGAAGGUUUUAGGAGAUACCUGGCCACAAAGGGAAGGAGUAGCAGGCUGCAAAUUCAAGGUGAACACACAGUGAAAGACAUAGAAUUGAGGCAUACAGAAACAGAGGAGGAGAAAAUACAAUUUUUUCAAAAACAGCAGUAUCCUGAGCUUUUAAAUGAACUUCUGUAAAAUACCCUGAUGAACAGGACUUGUGUUUGCCAUAUGCAGAGAUACGCUGAUAUUAACCUCACCAAAAAUAUCUUGCCUGAAGAGUUUGAGGUCAGCUAUGACACUGUUUGCCAUUCUGCAGGAAGCAAAAACUCUGUUGAGGAAAAUAAACAGUCUGUUGGCGGGGGGGAAGCCUAUCUGAAGAAUAUGAUGAUCAACUAUUGAAGUUGCAUAGGCAUACUGUUACUUGCUCCUGCAAAUGUAUAAUACUGGCCAUACAUACACGUGGCUUAAUGUCCAGUAACAUUCCACGAUUCAUCAAUAAACAGAGGAGGAAGCAAGCACAUGUACACAAACCAAAUCUCCUGUUAGAUAAGCAUCUCUGAUGAUACACAAAUAAUUACUCUAUGUUACCUUUAAGAAUAAAACUUUUCCUAUGAA